GACGAACGCUGGCGGCGUGCCUAAUACAUGCAAGUCGAACGCAGUGGGGACGGGUGAGUAACACGUGGGUCACCUCCCAUCAGAGGGGAUAACACUUGGAAACAGGUGCUAAACCGAUACUGAUGGAUGGACCCGCGGUGCCUUCGCUGGUUGGAGGGGUAACGGCCCACCAAGGCGAUGAUCAGUAGCCGGUCUGAGAGGAUGAACGGCCACAUUGGGACUGAGACACGGCCCAGACUCCUACGGGAGGCAGCAGUGGGGAAUAUUGCACAAUGGGCGCAAGCCUGAUGCAGCCAUGCCGCGUGUAUGAAGAAGGCCUUCGGGUUGUAAAGUACUUUCAGCGGGGAGGCGUUACCCGCAGAAGAAGCACCGGCUAACUCCGUGCCAGCAGCCGCGGUAAUUC
rnacentral:rRNA from 1 species